rnacentral:rRNA from 1 species
UACGAAGGGGGCGAGCGUUGUUCGGAGUUACUGGGCGUAAAGGGCGCGUAGGCGGCGAUCCAAGUUAGGCGUGAAAUCCCUGGGCUCAACCCAGGAACUGCGUCCGAUACUGGUUGGCUUGAAUUCGGGAGAGGGAUGUGGAAUUCCAGGUGUAGCGGUGAAAUGCGUAGAUAUCUGGAGGAACACCGGUGGCGAAGGCGGCAUCCUGGACCGAUAUUGACGCUGAUGCGCGAAAGCCAGGGGAGCAAACGGG